CAAAGGCAUGGUCCUGACCUUAUUAUCAGCUCUAGCCCAACUUACACAUGCAAGUCUCCGCAGUCCCGUGAGUAUGCCCUCAAUCCCCCGCCCGGGGACAAGGAGCGGGCAUCAGGCACAAUUUUUAGCCCAAGACGCCUAGCCAAGCCACACCCCCAAGGGAAUUCAGCAGUGAUAGACAUUAAGCCAUAAGUGAAAACUUGACUCAGUCAGGGCUAAGAGGGCCGGUAAAACUCGUGCCAGCCACCGCGGUUAAACGAGAGGCCCUAGUUGAUACUAUUACGGCGUAAAGGGUGGUUAAGGAAGGAAACAUAAUAAAGCCAAAUGGCCCUUUGGCCGUCAUACGCUUCUAGGUGUCCGAAGCCCAACCCCACGAAAGUAGCUUUAAUAAGACCCACCUGACCCCACGAAAGCURAGRAACAAACUGGGAUUAGAUACCCCACUAUGCUCAGCUGUAAACCUAGAUAUUUUUUCACAAUUAAUAUCCGCCAGGGUACUACGAGCGUUAGCUUAAAACCCAAAGGACUUGGCGGUGCCUCAGACCCCCCUAGAGGAGCCUGUUCUAGAACCGAUAACCCCCGUUAAACCUCACCACUUCUAGUCACCCCCGCCUAUAUACCGCCGUCGUCAGCUUACCCUGUGAAGGAUCAAAAGUAAGCAAAAUGAACUUAGUCCAAAACGUCAGGUCGAGGUGUAGCGAACGAAGUGGGAAGAAAUGGGCUACAUUUUCUAAUUCAGAAUAUUACGAACAACAUUAUGAAACUAAUGCUCAAAGGAGGAUUUAGUAGUAAAAAGGAAAUAGAGUGUCCUUUUGAACCCGGCUCUGAGGCGCGUACACACCGCCCGUCACUCUCCCCGCCUAUAGCGACAUAUGUCCAUAACAAUAAAGCACAAAUAAGGGGAGGCAAGUCGUAACAUGGUAAGUGUACCGGAAGGUGCACUUGGAUAAAAC
rnacentral:ncRNA from 1 species